rnacentral:rRNA from 1 species
UACAGAGACCUCAAGCGUUAUCCGGAAUCAUUGGGCGUAAAGCGUACCGAUAGGGGGUUUAUAAAGUCUUGGGUAAAAGCCGGAAGCUUAACUUCCGCGUUUGCUUAAGAUACUUAUAGACUAGAGGGGCAAAGAGGUGCUUGGAACCAACGGUGUAGUAGUGAAAUGCGUUGAUAUCGUUGGGAACACCGAAAGCGAAGGCAGAGCACUGGGUGCCACCUGACACUGCUAGGACGAAAGCGUGGGGAGCGAAUGGG